CACGUAGGGUGCGAGCGUUGUCCGGAAUUAUUGGGCGUAAAGAGCUCGUAGGCGGUGUGUCGCGUCGGCCGUGAAAACCUGCAGCUUAACUGUGGGCUUGCGGUCGAUACGGGCAUCACUGGAGUUCGGCAGGGGAGACUGGAAUUCCUGGUGUAGCGGUGAAAUGCGCAGAUAUCUGGAGGAACACCGGUGGCGAAGGCGGCAUCCUGGACCGGUAUUGACACUGAGGCGCGAAAGCCAGGGGAGCAAACGGG
rnacentral:rRNA from 1 species